rnacentral:rRNA from 1 species
UACGUAGGGUGCGAGCGUUAAUCGGAAUUACUGGGCGUAAAGCGUGCGCAGGCGGUUUUGUAAGUCAGAUGUGAAAAUCCCCCGGGCUUAACCUGGGAACUGCGUUUGAAACUACAAGGCUAGAGUGUGGCAGAGGGGGGUGGAAUUCCACGUGUAGCAGUGAAAUGCGUAGAGAUGUGGAGGAACACCGAUGGCGAAGGCAGCCCCCUGGGUUAACAUUGACGCUCAGGCACGAAAGCGUGGGGAGCAAACAGG